rnacentral:rRNA from 1 species
ACCCGCAAAGGUUGAAAACUCAAAAGAAUUUGAACGGGGGGCCCGCACAAGGCGGUGGAGCAUGUGGUUUAAAUUCGAAAGCUUACGCGAAGAACCUUUACCAGGGUCUUGGACAUCUUCUGCCAACCUAAGAGAUUAGGGCGUUCCCUUCGGGGACAGAAUGACAGGUGGUGCAUGGUUGUCGUCAGCUCGUGUCGUGAGAUGUUGGGUUAAGUCCCGCAACGAGCGCAACCCUUAUUACUAGUUGCCAGCAUUCAGUUGGGCACUCUAGUGAGACUGCCGGUGACAAACCGGAGGAAGGUGGGGACGACGUCAAAUCAUCAUGCCCCUUAUGACCUGGGCUACACACGUGCUACAAUGGAUGGUACAACGAGUCGCGAAACCGCGAGGUUUAGCUAAUCUCUUAAAACCAUUCUCAGUUCGGACUGUAGGCUGCAACUCGCCUACACGAAGUCGGAAUCGCUAGUAAUCGCGGAUCAGCAUGCCGCGGUGAAUACGUUCCCGGGCCUUGUACACACCGCCCGUCUCUCCAUGAGAGUUUGUAACACCCAAAGCCGGUGGGGUAAC